UAGGGAAUCUUCCGCAAUGGGCGAAAGCCUGACGGAGCAACGCCGCGUGAGUGAUGAAGGUCUUCGGAUCGUAAACCUCUGUUAUUAGGGAAGAACAAAUGUGUAAGUAACUAUGCACGUCUUGACGGUACCUAAUCAGAAAGCCACGGCUAACUACGUGCCAGCAGCCGCGGUAAUACGUAGGUGGCAAGCGUUAUCCGGAAUUAUUGGGCGUAAAGCGCGCGUAGGCGGUUUUUUAAGUCUGAUGUGAAAGCCCACGGCGCAACCGUGGAGGGUCAUUGGAAACUGGAAAACUUGAGUGCAGAAGAGGAAAGUGGAAUUCCAUGUGUAGCGGUGGAAUGCGCAGGGAUAUGGAGGAAAACCAGUGGCGAAGGCGACUUUCUGGUCUGUAACUGACGCUGAUGUGCGAAAGCGUGGGGAUCAAACAGG
rnacentral:rRNA from 1 species